rnacentral:lncRNA from 1 species
GACCCAAAAUAUCUCCUCUUUAGCUCUCAGGGGAUAAUGUCCUGCUUGAUGGUGACCAAAGUCAGUGGCAUUAACAGGAGGCAGUCUGGAGAAGGCUAACAGGCUGCAGAAGGAACCACACCCCAGAAUUGUAAGGAGGGUGAGUAACUCACAGAUGUGGAAUUCAACCGAUCAGGCCAGGAGCAGUCAGUGAGUAAUUAGGUGCGGUCACUGGUAUCCUGCCUUGAGACUGACUUGAUCAAGUCAUCAUCGCUGGAUGCUUGGUCUCAGCUUACUGUGUGGACACUGCACAUUUGUCUCCCAGGUUCCAUCUGCAUUGGAUAAAACAAAUCCUGAGCAAGACCAGCCUCGUCAUCGCCCUCCUUUAUGACCAAACCCCAAAGCCCAGGGCUCGUCGCUUGCACGUUGCAGCCUCUGCCUUCUCAAAUGUUCGACUCUGGUGUUCAAGCCAGCACUUGUUUUACAGGGAAGAAACAGACACAAGGAGGAGGAGGCCCAUCGGAGGCUGUGUUACUUUGUGAAGAUCCUUUCUUGAGAGAGGCCACGCUUUUUGCUGUCUUUCUGAUCACGGAACAUGGCUCCACUUUAACAAACGAUCGUUUUUGUAAAGAGCUAUUCACUCAUGUGUGGUGCCUACUUCUGGAUCUAUGAUCUAGAAAAUGCCCAUGGAUUUGAAUGUUCAGCAUUCAGAGUGUUUCUCUUGUUUGUUGCUGUGUGGUUAGCUUCCCAUUCCAUCAUAUUCCAAGAGAAGGGCUCCUGGGGGAGGUGCCUUCUGCAUCCCUGUAUCCCCAGGGUCUCGCACGAUGCUGGCAACAUAGUCAGCCAAACAGAGGCUCAUAGAUGCUAAGAAGCAAUUGGAUGAAUACAGGACAUGAUUGCUCUUUUUGACAACACUUCCCUCAGUUAGGGAACAUGCAGACAGAAUGGAUCCAUUUGGAUUCUAAUUCAGCGCCAAGAAAUUGGCCAAGGCUGAGAAGAUAGUGACCGCUGGGGUCCGUGUGGCUUUGGGCUGGACAAAGUGUUCUUCAUUCCACCUUGGGCUGUUUUUCUCCAAACAUCCCUGGCUUCAGGGUGGGCCCAAUGGCACCAAUGGACCCGUCCUCACUGGAUCCUGCCAACUCCAAUCAGUGAGCCAGACUUUCAUCCUGGAUUUCCCUGGGAUGGACCACGAAGCUCAGAGCCUAGACCUGGAAGCGAGUACGGCUGUCUCCCAAAGCUGGCUUCCUCUGCCAGCCCACCAUCUGCUUCUCUCUGUGGCACAUUCUGGUGCAGAGACGGCAACAGGGCUUCAUCUAGAUUUCUAAUCCUCACUGUGGACAAGCAACUUAGCCUCUCUGACCCUUGAUUCUUCUCUAGAAUAUGGACUUCACACUAGUGUCCAGCUCCAAGUGUGUGGUGAGAGUUAAUUAAGACAGUUCCAUGACAGCCCCACCACACAGCCGAGCACGGGACGCUUGCCCAUCAGUGCUGGCUCUCUUUCCCCUCGCCUGUCUGCCUUCUUUUUCCAACCUUCCUCCGAUGUUUGACAUGAUUGUGAAACGACAGAUGUGUGCUCCAGCCUGUGGUACCCAGGCUUGGACAAUGUUGGGAGCCCACCCGCAGGAGGGGCUCGGAGGAUGGUUAUCAAAAUGAAUCACCGACUAGCUCAAUUUCACCAUCAGCAAACUUGGCAGAUUUAACUUGGUCUGGAUGCAGCCGAUUGCACUGUAGUUUUCUUGUUCUUCUUGAAGAAAAAUUCUUUCCACAUCAUCACUCCUUUUAUACGGAUUUACCAGAAGUCAUUUACUCUUACUUUUCUAAUGUGAAGUUCUUUUCCAUUUUAAUAGUCCUCCCUGAUUAGUGUCUAAACCCCACCCUGCGGUUAUGUACAUAAUAUCUGAGGAAUUUGCAUGUUUUGAAAAAUUGGUGACAGUGGGGAAAAUAAAAAACAAAUUCUCGGCCCCA